CAAAAUAAACCCUAAAUCCCAAAAUCUAGGGUUUCAUCUAGUAAAAUUCACCAAAAAUAGAUCUAGAGGGGAGAAACAAACAACUAACCUUCUUGAUAGCUCCAAACCAAGCUCAAAAUGCUCUAGGGUUGAAGAUUAAUCCACCACAAGGCUCCAAGUCCAAGCUCCAAGCCUCCAAAAGUGAGAAAUGGGAAAGAGG
rnacentral:lncRNA from 1 species